GUUGGAUAAGGAGAAAAGACCGCAAAAGAUCCAGCGUUCGUCAAUGGCGGCUACUCUUCCUUCGACUCUCCUAUGCCAAGCUUCCCUUUCUCUCCCUGCUCAUAAUCCAUGUAAAGCUUUGAAUUCCUUUCCUAUCUUCUACGCUACAGAAGGUCGUGCUCUUGUUCGCUGCUCGGCCAAGAGGAAAAUAGGCUUCUUUGAUCAAAUUCUCGACUACAUUGAAGGCGGUCCCAAGUUGAGGAAAUGGUAUGGGGCACCUGAUUUGCUCCCAAAAGAUGGGUCUACUACAGAAGGGGAUGAUGAAUUUUCGGGUAAUUUGAUGUAUCAAUUUAUGGGUGUUCUGUGUUUCUACGUUUGAAUUGCUUUCAAUGUCUUGCAAAAAUUUGCCCUUUCCUUUUAAACGCAGAGGAAGAGGAGGUAAGGGAUGCAGUUCUAGUAACGGAUGGAGAUAGUGACAUUGGUCAGGUGUGUUUCAUUAUUCACCAUUAAUGAUCCUCUCUUCAAUUCUCCUUGAGGAUAAAUGCUAUGAACUUAAUAUUAUAUUGCUUGCAAAAAUGAAUUUUAUGGUUGCUGUCUUAUAUUUCUUUCAGUUUCCAUCCCAUAAUUUUUAUGGUGCUAAUGGUGUGGUUUCUUGCAUAUGGUUGAACAAUUUGUUGAUAAUCUUAAACUGAGCCUUGUGACUCUAGCUUAUGUAGAUCAUAAUACUGUCCCUGAUUGUCAAACGAGCUCGAGUUAAAGCAUUGGUGAAGGAUAAGCGGACUGCCAUGGAAGCCUUUGGAACUUAUGUUGAGGUGGGUGCAUUUAUUAUCUACGAAGAUCAAAUUAGUGCUUUUGAAAGUUGUUUUGCCUUGCCCAUCUGUUCAUUCUAUGCAUUGAAAUAUGCUGAAAUGGUUUGUUUUUCUGCAAAGUCAAUUUCUAGAGAUGCAAGUAGUAAGCUAUUCCUAAAGAAAGCUCUCAGAGGUGUUCGUACCAUUAUAUGCUCGAACGUAAGUGUUUCUAUAUGUUUUCCAUUCUGCACACUUGCAUAUUCAAUGGUGACAUAUGAAAAUUUAUAUUAUUGGCAAAUCAUACUGGUUGUUCAUCUUAUUCGCAAUAUUUCCACCGUAAAUGUUAGUUUUCAAGUGAACUAGUGUAUCAAAGCUCCUAAUUUUUAUUUCACUGCGUUUGUUAUUUAUGAUGAUAUCUAUAAAUUGGAAAAUUUUACCUAUUUCUGCAGUUCAUCGUGUAAUCCUCACUGGGUUUUACACUGUCUGAUUGCAAAAACUGAUAUCCAAUUGGGAAUUUGGUGGUUUCUUUCCUCAUGAUGAUUUCUUUUUUUUAUAUGAUUGAAGAGGGAAACACUAAGCCUAGUAAGUAGAAUGUCAAAAGUGACUCUCAAAAGGCUUGACAGUCUUGGGGCACAACCAUCUUUAGUUACUGAAGGACAUCUGAAUCUGGGACAGGAUAUUUCUUUAUUUUGCUACUUAAAGAUUUGUGCAGAAUUUCUGCAGCAAAUGGAAUUUAUAAUGAGAGGUUUCAGGUAUAAAUUUAGGGCAUUGAAGUGUCAAAUUAAAGAUUUUAAUGAGACACCACACUGAAUGAGUAUAAAGAAAGAACUGGAACACUUAAUUGGUGUAUAAAGCUUGUACAGAUAUGCUUGGAGGCAUGGCAGCACAACGAAUUCACUGCAAAUAUAGAUACCAUUAUCAUUUAGAUGUAAAAUCUGGGUUGUUAAUAAAUGCAUAAAGAAUUCUUUAGAAAAUUUCCUAACAUAAAACAAGCUGGGAUGAUUUCCUAUUUGUGUAACUAGGAAGUUGUAAUUACUGAGCCCUUCUCAAAAUUUUAUUAGCUAAAACCAUCUCUUGGAAACAUUUUCGUAUUCCAGGGAAUUCCAAGGAGAUGUAUUAUUGGCUGAAAACUUUUUUCAGUAACUUCAUCUUUUCCUUCUUCACAGGAAGGCUUCUUUUCUAGUGUUGGAAGCUUGAAAGGUGUAAAACAUGCAAUCUUCUUGUCCCAGGUAUCUCUCUCUCUCCCUCUCUCUGGUAAGCAUGUGCCAAAACCAAAUGCUGCAAUUUGUAAAUUAAGUUUAGUAAGUUUACAGUUGUCUGUUUAUAGAGGUAGCAGUGGCAUUCAAGCUCUCAUGAUAAACAACGCAAGAAAAUUGGCUGAGCAAGAUGAAUCAACACUUGCAAGCUCAGGAAUUCCUCACACCAUCAUCAGAGUUGGCAUGUUACAAAAUACUCCUGGUGGAACACUAGGUUUCAACUUUGAAAAGAUGAAGUUUAUAUAAAUAAAUCUCUCAUUAUGGUGGAUUUGGACUAUGGUAUCAACAAUUCAAAGCUCCUCAUGACAGGGUUGCUCAGAGAGGGGAAGUCUUGCCAAAGAGGAUGCCGCAUUCAUUUGUGUGGAAGCUCUUGAUAUAGUCCCACAAGCACGAUUCGUCUUUGAGGUUGGUGAAACAUCAUCAUUAUCAUAAUAACAUUAAUAACAGAACCUCUAUCUUUCUGAAUUACUCAUGCCUAUUCUGCUGGGGCUGGUGGUUUUGGCACAGACACGAACGACUAUAUCUGGAGGCGCAAAAAACAAACUUAAAAGUCGUUUGAAGAAGUCGUGAUUGUUAAUAUGUUGCAUAAAUGAAAAAUGAAUAAUAAAAGAAACAUGAAAUGGACCUUUUUCUCAAGGAAAUGCAGAAGACAAUGAAAUGGUUUAAUGUCAACGAAACAUCCGAUAGAAUAACUUUUUUUAAUUUUCUUCUGUUUUCUUUCUUG
rnacentral:misc_RNA from 1 species